rnacentral:rRNA from 1 species
GGGUGCGAUCAUACCAGCACUAAUGCACUGGAUCCCAUCAGAACUCCGCAGAGAAGCGUGCUUCGGCGAGAGUAGCGCUAGGAUGGGUGACCUAUUGGGAAAUUCUCGUGUUGCACCCC